rnacentral:rRNA from 1 species
AACGAACGUUAGCGGCGCGCUUAACACAUGCAAGUCGCACGAGAAAGGGCUUCGGCCCCGGUACAGUGGCGCACGGGUGAGUAACACGUGGAUAAUCUUCCCUCGGGCGGGGGAUAACAUUCCGAAAGGAGUGCUAAUACCGCAUAAGACCACGACCCCGAAAGGGGAUGAGGUCAAAGCCGGCCUCUAUUCAUAAGCUGGCACCUGAGGAUGAGUCCGCGGCCCAUCAGCUAGUUGGCGGAGUAAUGGCCCACCAAGGCUAAGACGGGU